rnacentral:misc_RNA from 1 species
AGUGUUUGUGUUUAUUUAUAACUCUUUAAUAAGCACUUAAGAAAUUGAAAACUAGUGCCAGUGCUACUUAUUAAUGACGUUAUUAAGGUGAAAAAUAACAUAAAACUUAUUGUGUUUACAACAAAUUAUAAUAUUUUUAGAACCUACCCUCAAAGACAAAUGACAGUGUAUUGAGCAUUUAUUAGUGUAGUAAAACAACUGUGAGCAUUUAUUAGUGUAGUAAAACAACUGUGAGCCUUUGUCGCUGUGAAAAUUUAGCCAUGAGUUCUUGUAGUGCGUGUAGCCAAUUAAUUAGCGUCACUGAAAGGUUGACAUGUUCUCAUUGCUCGCGCAACUAUCACUAUACAUGCGUGAAUUAUAAUAAAGAAAACUUCUCUAAAAUAACAACGAGGGCGAAAUCUUCCUGGAAGUGUCCUGAAUGCAAGCAACCGCGCAGAAAAGGGGAUAACAGUGAAACGCCAGUAAAGGAAGUUCUUGAAAAUGUUUCGGAAAUAGACCAC